rnacentral:siRNA from 1 species
GAGAUGGAAGGAGCAAGAGAUGG